rnacentral:rRNA from 1 species
GGAUGGACCCGCGGUGCAUUAGCUAGUUGGUGAGGUAACGGCUCACCAAGGCCACGAUGCAUAGCCGACCUGAGAGGGUGAUCGGCCACACUGGGACUGAGACACGGCCCAGACUCCUACGGGAGGCAGCAGUAGGGAAUCUUCGGCAAUGGACGAAAGUCUGACCGAGCAACGCCGCGUGAGUGAAGAAGGUUUUCGGAUCGUAAAACUCUGUUGUUAGAGAAGAACAAGGAUGAGAGUAGAACGUUCAUCCCUUGACGGUAUCUAACCAGAAAGCCACGGCUAACUACGUGCCAGCAGCCGCGGUAAUACGUAGGUGGCAAGCGUUGUCCGGAUUUAUUGGGCGUAAAGCGAGCGCAGGCGGUUUCUUAAGUCUGAUGUGAAAGCCCCCGGCUCAACCGGGGAGGGUCAUUGGAAACUGGGAGACUUGAGUGCAGAAGAGGAGAGUGGAAUUCCAUGUGUAGCGGUGAAAUGCGUAGAUAUAUGGAGGAACACCAGUGGCGAAGGCGGCUCUCUGGUCUGUAACUGACGCUGAGGCUCGAAAGCGUGGGGAGCGAACAGGAUUAGAUACCCUGGUAGUCCACGCCGUAAACGAUGAGUGCUAAGUGUUGGAGGGUUUCCGCCCUUCA